UCCUGGCUCAGGAUGAACGCUAGCUACAGGCUUAACACAUGCAAGUCGAGGGGAAACGACAUCGAAAGCUUGCUUUUGAUGGGCGUCGACCGGCGCACGGGUGAGUAACGCGUAUCCAACCUGCCCACCACUUGGGGAUAACCUUGCGAAAGUAAGACUAAUACCCAAUGACGUCUCUAGAAGACAUCUGAAAGAGAUUAAAGAUUUAUCGGUGAUGGAUGGGGAUGCGUCUGAUUAGCUUGUUGGCGGGGUAACGGCCCACCAAGGCGACGAUCAGUAGGGGUUCUGAGAGGAAGGUCCCCCACAUUGGAACUGAGACACGGUCCAAACUCCUACGGGAGGCAGCAGUGAGGAAUAUUGGUCAAUGGACGAGAGUCUGAACCAGCCAAGUAGCGUGCAGGAUGACGGCCCUAUGGGUUGUAAACUGCUUUUAUAAGGGAAUAAAGUGAGUCUCGUGAGACUUUUUGCAUGUACCUUAUGAAUAAGGACCGGCUAAUUCCGUGCCAGCAGCCGCGGUAAUACGGAAGGUCCGGGCGUUAUCCGGAUUUAUUGGGUUUAAAGGGAGCGUAGGCCGGAGAUUAAGCGUGUUGUGAAAUGUAGACGCUCAACGUCUGCACUGCAGCGCGAACUGGUUUCCUUGAGUACGCACAAAGUGGGCGGAAUUCGUGGUGUAGCGGUGAAAUGCUUAGAUAUCACGAAGAACUCCGAUUGCGAAGGCAGCUCACUGGAGCGCAACUGACGCUGAAGCUCGAAAGUGCGGGUAUCGAACAGGAUUAGAUACCCUGGUAGUCCGCACGGUAAACGAUGGAUGCCCGCUGUUGGCCUGAAUAGGUCAGCGGCCAAGCGAAAGCAUUAAGCAUCCCACCUGGGGAGUACGCCGGCAAC
rnacentral:rRNA from 1 species